rnacentral:rRNA from 1 species
AUUGAACGCUGGCGGCAGGCUUAACACAUGCAAGUCGAACGAGUGGCGCACGGGUGAGUAAUGCUUGGGUAUCUAGCUUAUGGAGGGGGAUAACUACGGGAAACUUUAGCUAAUACCGCAUACCAUAAGAAGAGCCCAAGUGGGAUUAGGUAGUUGGUGGGGUAAAGGCUCACCAAGCCGACGGUCACUAGCUGGUCUGAGAGGAUGACCAGCCACACUGGGAAUGAGACACGGCCCAGACUCCUACGGGAGGCAGCAGUGGGGAAUAUUGCGCAAUGGGGGCAACCUGAAGCAGCCAUGCCGCGUGGAUGAAGAAGGCCUUAGGGUUGUAAAGUACUUUCGGUAGCGAGGCGUUACCUACAGAAGAAGCACCGGCUAACUCCGUGCCAGCAGCCGCGGUAAUAC